rnacentral:rRNA from 1 species
UCAUUUGAACAUUGACAUCUUGAACGCACAUUGCGGCCACGGGUUAGCCCGUGGCCACGUCUGUCCGAGAGUCGGUUUAUAAACUAUCACGACGCCCAAAAAGUCGUGGCUUGGGUCUUGCUAGCCGGCAUGAUUUCCCCUGUCUUGUCACGGGGGGCCGGAUCUAUGGCUUCUCCCUAAUGUACCCAGACGCUGACCGCGGCCUAUGCGUAAUAGUAUGGGCAGAAUACGGCGUUCGAAGUCGUGGCCAAAUAUUGGGAUUGCUCCGAUACACGCUUCUUCGUCGUUAUGUUGUGGCGUUUGAUGUUUCAUUCAUAUAUAUAUAUGAUGCCCUACGGGUGUCAUUCCCGACCUCGGUUCANGCGUGAAUACCCGCUGAACUUA